rnacentral:rRNA from 1 species
UACGUAGGGCGCAAGCGUUAUCCGGAAUUAUUGGGCGUAAAGAGCUCGUAGGCGGUUUGUCGCGUCUGCCGUGAAAGUCCGGGGCUCAACUCCGGAUCUGCGGUGGGUACGGGCAGACUAGAGUGAUGUAGGGGAGACUGGAAUUCCUGGUGUAGCGGUGAAAUGCGCAGAUAUCAGGAGGAACACCGGUGGCGAAGGCGGGUCUCUGGGCAGUAACUGACGCUGAGGAGCGAAAGCGUGGGGAGCGAUCCGG